UUGCUCGCCUUUGAUAACACUGAUUAAAAUAAAGUAAAAUAAUAUAUAUUAUUAAUUUUUCUCACAUCAACCUAUCAAAUUUUUUUUUCUCGCCUAUAAAUAAAAUUAAAGGAGUUAAGAUAAAUUAAAUUUGAAUCCUUAGAUAUUAACCUAAAAGUGAAUUAAAAAGUAAUACAAGUAAAAAUAAUAUUAUUAAUUUUUCUUUGAGAAAAUAAUAAUAACUACAUAUUUUGUAA
rnacentral:misc_RNA from 1 species